CAACCGAGCGCAACCCUUAUCCCUAGUUGCCAGUCAGGUAAAGCUGGGAACUCUGGGAAGACUGCCGGUGAUAACCGGAGAAGGCGGGGAAUGACGUCAAGUCCUCAUUGGCCCUUACGAUCCCGGGCUACACACGUGCUACAAUGGCAGGUACAGAGGGCUGCGAAGCCGCGAGGUGGAGCGAAUCCCAGAAACCUGUCUCAGUCCGGAUUGAAGUCUGCAACCUCGACUUCAUGAAGGCGGAAUCGCUAGUAACCGCGAAUCAGCAGGUCGCGGUGAAUACGUUCCCGGGCCUU
rnacentral:rRNA from 1 species